CUCUCUACGUGUCUCCAGCAUCGUCAUCAGUUUACUGCAGAGAGAAACCUGACCAACGUAGUCCAGGAGGAUGGACACGACCCGGCCCACCAGGUUCAACAGCCAGGAGACGCUGAUGAACUCACAGAACUGCACGAGACAGGACAUCAGUUUGACAAGAGAGGAGAGUUUCACAAGAGGAAACACUUCUCGGCGUCGUAGCCGUGGUUGAGCAGCAGCCUCAUCAUCACUUCGUCCUUCAGGCAGUACUGCAGAGCUGUAGGAAAUACUGUGUCGUUCACCGCCGUGAAGUAACAGUUCACAUCUGCUUCAGCUGCCAGCAGCAGCUUCACAAUCUCGUAGCGUCCCGACCGAACGGCCACCAGGAGGCAGCGCAGCGGAUCCAGGUCGGGCUUGGCCCCCGACCUCAGCAGCAGCAGCUCCAGGCAGUGGGCGUGGCCUCCAUCAGCAGCAGAGUGGACCGGGCUCUGACCCGUCAACCUCAGGGCACGUCGAGUGGUGAUGGGGAUCAAAAUUCUUAAAGCUCUAGGGAACACAGAGAUUACAUCAUGGCUUUUAAUAUUGUGGUAUGGGCAUCACUGGUUGUACUUGGACUCCCCCUAGUGGAGGUGUCCCUCAUACGCUGCUCGGUGAAUUGGCAACUGGAAGCUGAGAUUUUGGACGUUGGGAUUUGCUCCGUGCUGUAGCAGGAGGUCAAUACAGUCGGGAUUCCCAGAACCUGCAGCAUCGUAGAGGACGCUGUCGCCGUUGGGGGCCUGAGCAUUUACAUCAGCUCCUUAAUGAGAAAACAAAGUCAUGUUCCAUGGACCCAGAUGUAAAAACACCAGGAGUUCCAUGAUGUGGACGCAGCCCCCCCUGGAGGCCUCGUGCAUGGCUGUCCACUUCUUCAGACACACCUGCUCAACCUUAGCUCCUGCAGCCAGGAGGCAGGAGACCACCUGAGGAGAGCCGGCUUGGACCGCUGUGGGAGGACACAGCAGUCCAGUCCAGAAACACCUGUCACUCACCGUAGAGCACCAACUCCAAAACAGAGAGCAGCGGCCGCCCUGCUGCCCUGUGCAGAGGGUAACAGCCAUUCUCAUCCACCUGACUGAAGGCUGCUGGGAAAUCA